GGCGGACGGGUGAGUAACACGUGGGUAACCUGCCUGUAAGACUGGGAUAACUCCGGGAAACCGGGGCUAAUACCGGAUGGUUGUUUGAACCGCAUGGUUCAAACAUAAAAGGUGGCUUCGGCUACCACUUACAGAUGGACCCGCGGCGCAUUAGCUAGUUGGUGAGGUAACGGCUCACCAAGGCGACGAUGCGUAGCCGACCUGAGAGGGUGAUCGGCCACACUGGGACUGAGACACGGCCCAGACUCCUACGGGAGGCAGCAGUAGGGAAUCUUCCGCAAUGGACGAAAGUCUGACGGAGCAACGCCGCGUGAGUGAUGAAGGUUUUCGGAUCGUAAAGCUCUGUUGUUAGGGAAGAACAAGUACCGUUCGAAUAGGGCGGUACCUUGACGGUACCUAACCAGAAAGCCACGGCUAACUACGUGCCAGCAGCCGCGGUAAUACGUAGGUGGCAAGCGUUGUCCGGAAUUAUUGGGCGUAAAGGGCUCGCAGGCGGUUUCUUAAGUCUGAUGUGAAAGCCCCCGGCUCAACCGGGGAGGGUCAUUGGAAACUGGGGAACUUGAGUGCAGAAGAGGAGAGUGGAAUUCCACGUGUAGCGGUGAAAUGCGUAGAGAUGUGGAGGAACACCAGUGGCGAAGGCGACUCUCUGGUCUGUAACUGACGCUGAGGAGCGAAAGCGUGGGGAGCGAACAGGAUUAGAUACCCUGGUAGUCCACGCCGUAAACGAUGAGUGCUAAGU
rnacentral:rRNA from 1 species